rnacentral:lncRNA from 1 species
UUGCACAAGACCAUUCUCAAAUUGUUUACACUUGAUUAUAAUGAGUAAGCAUCAGCCCAUAUCUUAUCUCAAGCUAGAAAAACGUGGAGGAACCACAAUAAUCCAGCAAAUAUAAGCCUUCCAAUCAUCAUCCUCCAUUUGGCCUUGUUGGGAAUGGGUAGAUAAGUGAAGACUUUGUGUUUUGGUCUUCAUUUCACUUGUCUUCUUCCAAAAACCGACCAGACCUAUUUCCUUAAGCUUCUCUUGAUAUUUCUUCACUUCCAUACUCACAUAAGAGAACAUCAAACCAUAAGAACUCAUAGAAGUAGAGCUAGAACAAGUUCUGCACCUUUUCUAGCUGAAAAUCCUAUGUUUUUAAGUUUGAAUUCAUCUAUAAUCAAGGCUUCUAGCACACCUUAUCUAAGACUGCUGAUCCUUUCACUU